rnacentral:rRNA from 1 species
AUACGUAGGGAGCGAGCGUUGUCCGGAAUUACUGGGUGUAAAGGGAGCGUAGGCGGGAUGGCAAGUCAGAUGUGAAAACUAUGGGCUCAACCCAUAGACUGCAUUUGAAACUGUUGUUCUUGAGUGAAGUAGAGGUAAGCGGAAUUCCUGGUGUAGCGGUGAAAUGCGUAGAUAUCAGGAGGAACAUCGGUGGCGAAGGCGGCUUACUGGGCUUUUACUGACGCUGAGGCUCGAAAGCGUGGGGAGCAAACAGGAUUAGAUACCCUGGUAGUCCACGCUGUAAACGAUGAUUACUAGGUGUGGGGGGACUGACCCCUUCCGUGCCGCAGUUAACACAAUAAGUAAUCCGCCUGGGGAGUACGGCCGCAAGGUUGAAACUCAAAUGAAUUGACGGGG